rnacentral:lncRNA from 1 species
CAGGCAGCAUGGAACAGGAAGAAGUGCAUGAACCCCACAUCUGGCUGAGGAGAUAUUGACUUCAGAUAGCUUCUGGGAGAAGGAGGGCCAGGUUUCUUUAAGUUUGGCCCCUAUAGGUUGGAAGCUCCAGGGGAUGACUCCACAUUCAGGAAUAUAUGAGUGGUGCAAACGGGACUUGGGACAUCCCUGGGAUUGGAACUGAUGGAUCAAGAGGUAACUCCAGGUUCGCUUGACAGUGUGGAGGCUCCCGUUCACACGCCCACCAGGAAGGAUGUGGGGGCUCCAGCGGCUGCCUCUUAUAUUCAAGUCACCCAGGAAGAACAAUGCCCUGACCUCAUAGUACCACUGCAUUCAACAACUCUACAUAAGGAAGGAAUACAAGGCUCGCCCGCUUUCUUCAGCAACAUUUGUGCGUAGUCAAGAGUACAAACAAGCCAAAUCUCAGAAUUCUGGAAACUGUUAACUUUGGGUAGGUUAAGACCAACCUUAUGAACUGUCUUCAGCUUCGCAGGUAGAGCAAGAGGAAGCAGCCUCCACACCUGGCAUUCACGAUUACAUACGUCCACUCACCUUUGAUAUUGGCCUUUGUCCACUGCACGGCUGUCUUGUGCACGCUUCACAGUUUACUUGUAUCUUGAAGUUCUUC